rnacentral:rRNA from 1 species
AUUGAACGCUGGCGGCAUGCUUUACACAUGCAAGUCGGACGAGUGGCGAACGGGUGAGUAACGCAUCGGCACGUACCGAGUAAUGGGGGAUAACUGUCCGAAAGGACAGCUAAUACCGCAUACUAUUCGAUCGGCCGAUGUCUGAUUAGCUGGUUGGCGGGGUAAAGGCUCACCAAGGCGACGAUAAAUAGCCGGUCUGAGAGGGUGAGCCGCCACACUGGGACUGAGACACGGGCCAGAAUCCUACGGGAGGCAGCAGUGGGGAAUUUUGGACAAGGGGCGCAAGCCUGAUACAGCCAUGCCGCGUGUGUGAAGAAGGCCUUCGGGUUGUAAAAAUCUGUUGUCAGGGAAGCGGUACCUGAAGAGUAAGCACCGGCUAACUACGUGCCAGCGGCCGCGGUAAUUC